CUUUGUACACACCGCCCGUCGCUACUACCGAUUGAAUGGCUCGGUGAGGCCUUCGGACUGGCCCAGGGAGGUCGGCAACGACCACCCAGGGCCGGAAAGUUGGUCAAACCCGGUCAUUUAGAGGAAGUAAAAGUCGUAACAAGGUCUCCGUAGGUGAACCUGCGGAGGGAUCAUUA
rnacentral:rRNA from 2 species